CCAAACCUCGUCAUGAUUGCCUGGAUGAGCUCAUCUAACCGUAUUGUUUCUAUUUUCAGAAUAUGGAGUUGAACCUAGCUCAGUUACUGGUUCAUAACGACGCUGCGUUGGUCAAAUUUAGGGUCGACCACGGCAUCUCUGAUGACGUUCAGAUAGAAUGGUCUGGUCCCAAUUAGGAAGCCAAUCUGGUCAAAAGGAACGAGGACCGGAUUCCAGUUCAGAUCUGGCUGAUCUAUCAAGCUGGGUUUCGGUUUCCAGUAAGCCCAAUGCUGAAGGAGGUGAUGUGGUGUUGUCGCCUCACCUUCUUGCAGGUAUAAUUGAAUUUCGUUCGAACCGUGCUUGCGGUGGACACACUAAUGCGUUAGCAGGAGCUUCCCUAUAGUGCCUCAGAUCUGUUGCAUGUAUAUACCAUGGUGCGCUCGAAGAAGAUUUGUUGCAUGUAUAUACCAUGGUGCGCUCGAAGAAGGAGCCUUGGCACCAGAUUCCUCAAGGGCAAUCAUUUCCUUUGGCGCAGGAACUCCCGCUAGACCCAAACGAGGUUAGUGAUCUAUAUUCCGGACAAAUACUUGUUUUUGAAUGAGUUUGUCUGGGUUUCGAGAAAUGGGAAUUUCGAUGAGAUUUCAAUAGAGUUGUUCCGAAAGAGGUCAGAGCAGUGCAAGGAAGCCAUCACAACCCUCAACAAUAGACGAGUUCCUAGGAAAGUUGCCGUCUUGCAAAAUACGAGCCAGUCUAUCGCCAC
rnacentral:lncRNA from 1 species